rnacentral:tRNA from 1 species
AGCCCCGUGGUGUAGCGGUCAAGCAUUCGGGGUUUUGGUCCCCGCGACGGCGGUUCGAAUCCGCCCGGGGCUACCA